AACCAGUGAGGAGCGACUGUUUACUAAAAACACAGGUCCGUGCGAAGUCGCAAGACGAUGUAUACGGACUGACGCCUGCCCGGUGCUGGAAGGUUAAGAGGACCCGUUAACCCGCAAGGGUGAAGCGGAGAAUUUAAGCCCCAGUAAACGGCGGUGGUAACUAUAACCAUCCUAAGGUAGCGAAAUUCCUUGUCGGGUAAGUUCCGACCUGCACGAAUGGCGUAACGACUUCUCAACUGUCUCAACCAUAGACUCGGCGAAAUUGCACUACGAGUAAAGAUGCUCGUUACGCGCGGCAGGACGAAAAGACCCCGGGACCUUCACUACAACUUGGUAUUGAUGUUCGGUACGGUUUGUGUAGGAUAGGUGGGAGACUGUGAAACCUCGACGCCAGUUGGGGCGGAGUCGUUGUUGAAAUACCACUCUGAUCGUAUUGGGCAUCUAACCUCGAACCCUGAAUCGGGUUUAGGGACAGUGCCUGGCGGGUAGUUUAACUGGGGCGGUUGCCUCCUAAAAUGUAACGGAGGCGCCCAAAGGUUCCCUCAACCUGGACGGCAAUCAGGUGGCGAGUGUAAAUGCACAAGGGAGCUUGACUGCGAGACUUACAAGUCAAGCAGGGACGAAAGUCGGGAUUAGUGAUCCGGCACCCCCGAGUGGAAGGGGUGUCGCUCAACGGAUAAAAGGUACCCCGGGGAUAACAGGCUGAUCUUCCCCAAGAGUCCAUAUCGACGGGAUGGUUUGGCACCUCGAUGUCGGCUCGUCGCAUCCUGGGGCUGGAGCAGGUCCCAAGGGUUGGGCUGUUCGCCCAUUAAAGCGGCACGCGAGCUGGGUUUAGAACGUCGUGAGACAGUUCGGUCUCUAUCCGCCGCGCGCGUCAGAAACUUGAGGAAACCUGUCCCUAGUACGAGAGGACCGGGACGGACGAACCUCUGGUGCACCAGUUGUCCCGCCAGGGGCACCGCUGGAUAGCCACGUUCGGUCAGGAUAACCGCUGAAAGCAUCUAAGCGGGAAACCUUCUCCAAGAUCAGGUUUCUCACCCACUUGGUGGGAUAAGGCCCCCCGCAGAACACGGGUUCAAUAGGUCAGACCUGGAAGCUCAGUAAUGGGUGUAGGGAACUGGUGCUAACCGGCCGAAAACUUACAACA
rnacentral:rRNA from 1 species